rnacentral:rRNA from 1 species
UACGUAGGGGGCAAGCGUUGUCCGGAAUCAUUGGGCGUAAAGAGCGUGUAGGCGGCCCGGUAAGUCCGCUGUGAAAGUCCAGGGCUCAACCCUGGGAUGCCGGUGGAUACUGUCGGGCUCGAGUCCGGAAGAGGAGUGUGGAAUUCCUGGUGUAGCGGUGAAAUGCGCAGAUAUCAGGAGGAACACCGGUGGCGAAGGCGGCAUCCUGGACCGGCAUUGACGCUGGAGGCGCGAAAGCCAGGGGAGCGAAACGGGA